rnacentral:lncRNA from 1 species
CUGGAGUUGGGAGAGCACAGUGACCAAAUCCUGAGAGAAGGAUGCAUCUGUGACCAGGGGUCUUCUGGACAGGCAUCAGUCGUCCUUGCAUACCCGCUGUGCCAGGAGGCUUCCUGAGGAGGCUGACAUCUCCGCCCAGUCUCCAGGAAGAAAUCAGGCCUCUUGAUGGAGGAGAAGGGAAAACCAUGUCAACUGCUUGUCCUGCAGGCACGUUGGCCCAGCCCUGGCCUUUGUGCUGGCAGCCAGGGAACUGCCUCUCCUCCAGGAAGGGUCCAAGGAACACAUUGAGAAGACCCAAUGGGAAACAGCAGCGUCAGCAAGGGGCAGCUCUGCGCAGACUCAAAACACACUCGGAGACACAAGGUGAGUGGAAGGAGAGCUGUUUGGGUGAGGAUUAGGAAGGCAUGGAAACCAUGGAAACCGCUCAGAAAGCCCCCAAAGCCGCAGCCUUCAGGACGCCUGCUGCAGUGCCAUUGGUCGGCCAUUUGUACCCUCUCUCUGUGUGAAAUACGACUUGUAUUUAUUUUCCCCCUUUGUAUACCUCUUCCCUUCUGUGCUGUGCUGGG